GAUUCAUUCAGGAAGAUUAUCUAAUUGUCCAGUAUGGCUUGUAUUCUUCUGCUCUUCACCAUCCUAUCUUCCUCUGGGGCCAGUAUCCAGCAGCUGCAGAGCUUGAAAGAUCCAGAUUUUGUAGCUCCAGGAGGGACAAUCACCAUGUCCUGUAGAUACGAUGGUGGAACCAUCACUGACAACAACUACCCACAAUGGAUCCAGCAGAAGUCAGAGCAGACUCCAAGGCCCUUAAUACACAGCACCAGCAGCAGGCCAUCAGGCGUUCCAGCCCGUUUCUCUAGCUCCAGGUCAGGGAACACCAUGUCCCUGACCAUCACAGGGGCCUUGGUGGAAGACGAGGCCACUUAUUACUGUUUAGUUUGGAUCGUGGACCGGAACAUCUCUUUCUACACUCAACAUCAAGUACUCAAGUGGGUCUUAGAGACAAGGACAAAAUGCCAGACCUGGUUCAUCCUGGUAAACCUGAAGUUAAACAUGUGA